CCUCCGCUGCUGUCUGACUCCC
rnacentral:piRNA from 1 species